rnacentral:lncRNA from 1 species
GACAAAGGGAAAAAAGGGCAAGAUUUAUAAUUUAUUUUACUUUCAUGAUUUUUCCAAGUGUCUUCAGAAGUAGAAACCUAUAGCAUUAAAAAAAAAAAUCUACAUUAACUAUAUAUGAGCUGAGAGAAUGAGAAGGUAAAAAACAUGGAGGAUAAGUUUCCUUUGUACUUACGAAAUAGUCCCCUUUCUUAGGAUAGAAGAUAGCAACUGGGUAGCUUCUGAAGCACCAUAAAAACAGCUAGAAAGAAUGCUUAUUUUUGAGGGGAUAGUGGACAAAUGAGCCCUUGUUGCUAGAGAGACACUGAUAAAUUAUCUGAAUCCUGUCAAAAAAUACUGUAAUACCUGUGUUAGGUUCUCUCAGGAAAUAGAUGAAUGGCCGAUCUGCUUUAAAAAUAGGAAUCCGAGACCUUUUCAAUAACAACAGAGCUGCAGGAAAGAAAGAAAAAUUCCAUUGCAUUUUCUGUGCAUUUUUAAGAAAAUAACUAUUGGUUAUGAAGUAAGUUAAUUUUUUAAGAAAUCAAAGCAUCCUAAUGGCAUUUGAUUGUUUACUGUUGUGAUGGGGGUGCAGAUGGGAAAAUUAAAGAGAAAAGAUGCCAUUUAGCCAAUCCUGUCUCCUGUUUUCAACACAUUCCAUGGAAUAAAUUCCUUAUUGAAGGUAACUUUCAGAAUUA